GGCCACUAUUGGAUGUGGUUUUAAACAGUUAGUCUUCAUAAGAGUCAAAUGCUUUUAUGUUUAAGGAUAAGCUGUGAAUGUACCAAGUUUACUUGGAAAUUGUGUGAUUUCACGCUGCUGAAAAAAGUUUCGUAGGAAGAAAAUAUUGCCCGUACCGCAAACCGACACAGGUACUCAAGUGGAGAACACUAAGGUGAGCGAGUGAACUAUUGUUAAGGAACUCUGCAAAAUGAGUCCGUAACUUCGGAAGAAGGACUGCUGGUUUUAUACCAGCCGCAGCAAAUAGGCCCAAACAACUGUUUAUCAAAAACACAGGUUUCUGCAAAAUCGUAAGAUGAAGUAUAGGGGCUGACGCCUGCCCAGUGCUGGAAGGUUAAAAGGAGGACUUAGCUUCGGCGAAGGUCUUAAUUGAAGCCCCAGUGAACGGCGGCCGUAACUAUAACGGUCCUAAGGUAGCGAAAUUCCUUGUCGGGUAAGUUCCGACCCGCAUGAAAGGCGUAAUGAUUUGGGCGCUGUCUCAACAAUAGACUCGGUGAAAUUUAAAUUCCAGUGAAGAUGCUGGGUACCCGCGACAGGACGGAAAGACCCCGUGGAGCUUUACUGUAGCUUGAUAUUGAAUGUUUGUGCUGCAUGUGCAGGAUAGGUAGGAGACUUUGAAGUCGGAACGCUAGUUUCGAUUGAGUCACCCUUGAGAYACUACCUCUGUUGUAUGAACGUUCUAACUCUGACAGUUAUCC
rnacentral:rRNA from 1 species